CUCGUCAGGGACCUCUUCAACAGUAACAUUAUGUCGUAAAGAUGCUUGAGAAGAUGGUCUUUUCGGAGAUGCAGAAUCAUUAGAGUCAACAUUAGAUUUAGGUUCAUUAAAUGAGCCUUGCUCAUGAUUGUUGCUUCCUUCACUCUUUACAUCAGUUUCAGCGCCUUUAGGAGAGGCCGAAAAGGUCUCAUUAGAGAAAUGUUCAGCAACAGGAGGUGAAGGUUGUUUUGAGCUGUCAGUUAAUUUCUCUCCCGCCUUCGUGUCUAUGGGCUCUUCAACUGUUUGGGUAGAAUGAAUAGGUAACGUCCCGUCAUCGGGAUCACGAACAGAUUCAACGUCCUCAUCACUACUUACCACUGAAUAUUGACCAGUCGAUAACAAUGCCUCUAGUGGGUUUCUAAACGUAGUAGGUUCGUCUUCAGGUUCAAUGACUUCUGGGUCAGGA